rnacentral:rRNA from 1 species
UACGAAGGGUGCAAGCGUUAAUCGGAAUUACUGGGCGUAAAGGGUGCGUAGGCGGCUCGUUAAGUCUGUCGUGAAAUCCCCGGGCUCAACCUGGGAAUGGCGAUGGAUACUGGCGAGCUAGAGUGUGUUAGAGGAUGGUGGAAUUCCCGGUGUAGCGGUGAAAUGCGUAGAGAUCGGGAGGAACAUCAGUGGCGAAGGCGGCCGUCUGGGACAUCACUGACGCUGAAGCACGAAAGCGUGGGGAGCAAACAGG